CUGUAACAGACUCACAUCCCAUGUGGCUCAGGCACAGAGGGAGAUGUGUAACACACUGACCAAGGGUUAAAUACCACACACACCAUUCACAACUACAUCUGGCUACAACAGCGCAGAUCCAACAGAAUACUAGCACCUGAUUUCUGUCUUCUCCAGCACUGGCACCUCCAGAGGCAGUCUAACAAAAUUUUCAGAUGUCAGGCAUUCUGCCUCUGCCCCGGGUCAAAAAAUUGUGGUAAGAAUGUUUUUAAACGAGGAAAAGGAUGGUUUCCAGUCUCUCUAUCACCAAACUCAAGAACAGUCCAAAACAUUGUUGAAGCUAGCAACACAGAAACACACCUCCAGAGACAAAGAAUGGAAAGUUUCAUCCCCAAAAGGACUUCCCACAAAACAUCACUGCUGGGCUGAGGCUGCAAAUCAGAACAACAAACAGUAGAUGGACAGAAGUCAGUCGCCUAGAACGGCGUUGUGCCCGUUACCACGGAUUGAGGGCUGCGCCAUAGCGAACUCCAACCAGAUGGUCUGGACAUGCCUGAGCUGAAGAAAUAUUUUGUAAUAAAAUGACUAUCCCAGAAUUAACUUUAAAAAAAGCACUUAAUACCUGUAUUGGAAAAUGUGCCUUCAUAGCAGCCAGUCUGCAGCAGCCGGGCCAUGAACACUCAUGCUCUCCACACACAAAUACCACUGAAGGGU